rnacentral:rRNA from 1 species
AUUGAACGCUGGCGGCAUGCUUUACACAUGCAAGUCGAACGGCAGCGCGGGCUUCGGCCUGGCGGCGAGUGGCGAACGGGUGAGUAAUGCAUCGGAACGUGCCCAGUCGUGGGGGAUAGCCCGGCGAAAGCCGGAUUAAUACCGCAUACGACCUGAGGGUGAAAGCGGGGGACCGAAAGGCCUCGCGCUAUUUGAGCGGCCGAUGUCGGAUUAGCUAGUUGGUGGGGUAAAGGCUUACCAAGGCGACGAUCCGUAGCUGGUCUGAGAGGACGACCAGCCACACUGGGACUGAGACACGGCCCAGACUCCUACGGGAGGCAGCAGUGGGGAAUUUUGGACAAUGGGGGCAACCCUGAUCCAGCCAUGCCGCGUGCGGGAAGAAGGCCUUCGGGUUGUAAACCGCUUUUGUUCGGGAAGAAAUCCUCUGGGCUAAUACCCCGGGGGGAUGACGGUACCGGAAGAAUAAGCACCGGCUAACUACGUG